UAGUCCACGCAGUAAACGAUGAUUACUAGGAGUUUGCGGUAUAAUGUAAGCUCUACAGCGAAAGCGUUAAGUAAUCCACCUGGGGAGUACGCCGGCAACGGUGAAACUCAAAGGAAUUGACGGGGGCCCGCACAAGCGGAGGAACAUGUGGUUUAAUUCGAUGAUACGCGAGGAACCUUACCCGGGUUUGAACGUAGUUGGACCGAAAUGGAAACACUUCUUCUAGCAAUAGCCGACUACG
rnacentral:rRNA from 1 species